rnacentral:lncRNA from 1 species
CGGGAGGCGGUGCAGCGCCAAAAUCAGCGCGUGUCGGAUCCGGUCGAGGGUUAUGGCGACACGGACACGGAGGCUCUGGCCGUGGCCACCGCGAUGUAUGCCCCGCCCCUGCUUGCCGAGCACUACCUCGCCGGGAGGAGGGUUAUGGCGACACGGACACGGAGGCUCUGGCCGUGGCCACCGCGAUGUAUGCCCCGCCCCUGCUUGCCGAGCACUACCUCGCCGGAUCACAUGUUGUUUGAUUCACUGUUUGGUUGAAGUGUAUACUGAUUACACCUUCUACCAUGUUGAUUCGCUGCAGAUAGACGUGAUGGUGAGGGUUGUCGACGGGUCUUUGUCCCAUGUGGUGGCCGAGUCGAGGUGAACACAGGCAAUGUUCGUCAUGCUUAACAGGUAAUGUCAAAGCAACUCAAUUUCUUCAAAAAUUGUAAUUUUGGUUUCAUCCUGCUUUCUUUUCGCAAAUACAGGUUCAAUACUUCUAUUUGUUUUUUAGCUCAUGUUAUACUAAUGUGAGGUUUAGCAUUAGGGGUAACUUUAUGCAAUUACACUUAGUCAAUAGCCUUUUCUGUUGCUCUCGGAUUUUUAUGUGGGUAAUGGUGUGAUCUCCGUACAGACUAUAGAUGUUGAUGAAAUACAUGUCACGCUGAAAAAUAGCAUGUCCGAGAUAAGGCAAUGGAACCUUCAUGCUUAUGAUGUAAAGGUUUUUGAGCAGAGGGACGCCCGUGAGAUCUCCUGGUGGUGUUCGGACGCGGCCGCCAGAGUUGUGGCCUUGGCUGCGGCCAUGGGCAGUUGUUGGAGACAAGCGAGGUCGGGCUUGGUUCGUCGGAUCUGUGAGUGGUAGGUUGAUUCAUGUUGGUUUUACAAGGCGGAGAAGUUUUCGUCCAAGCUUGACCACCACGUUUUUUUGUGUUCGAUGGGCUUGCACCGGAAUUUGCAGGGAGAAGCUUGCAUUGUAGCAGGCCGUGUCUACCUACAAGACGGCCAUCGACAAUCAAUUCCUGAAGAAGUUAGCAGUCUGUGCAGUAUGCUAUGGAUCAUCGUGUCCAUCAAGAGCAAUCCCUAUUGUUUGUGGUACAUAUAUUCAUCUCUGUUGAAUCUGGAACUUGGUAACUAAUUUGCCCCGUGUAUAGGUAGACAUCGAUCAAUAUGAGAGGAUGCUUAGCUACAUAUUAAUCCUUGUCAAUUCAGUACAAAUUUACUGAAUUUACAGAUGGAGGUUGUUGAGAGAACUUUAGCUAACAAUUAUAUGUCCUCGGUGAUGUACAAGCAAACACUAAAUUUUUGCAGUGUACAAAGUCCUUGAGUAAUUCCUGGCGCUACAAGUUUAAAAAAAAGAUGCCGGGUCUCUACCAUAUUCAGCCUCCACUUCAGAAUUUGAUUUGAACUAUAGGACAGUCGGUUGCUUUUGGUAAUUUAUGCCACUAAUUCUCGGUCCUUUGUGUGAGCUAUGUUUUCCUUGCACUUUUGCUUCUUAUUUACAGAUUGUUAUGGUGUCAGGUUUACUUGCCUACAAGUUUGGUUCCACUUGGUACGGACACCGUGCUCUGCUGUCAGCAUAUCUGUAGUAUCAGGAUAUUGUUACUACCUUGAAUGCUGAAUUUAAGGAUGUCUUGUCAUGUAUUACUCUCACUCCCUUCUGAAUUAUGAGGUCAUCCCAUGGUAGUCCACUAAUCUGGUGUCUGGUCCAUCUUCUUACCCUUGCAAUUUUAGCAUCAUCUAUCCAAUCUUACCCUAACUAUGUCCAGACUGUCAAAUAUUUCAAACAAUAAGAAAUUUGAAGUUCAGAAUAUGACAAGUAUCUAAAAAUGGAUUCAUUUUUGGAGAAAUAACAUUGUGUAGAGUGGAAAUGCAGAACUAUAUGUUCCUAUUACACCAACUGGUAUUGACUAUGUGGUCAACCUUCUUAGAAAAAACUACAAAGUCUAAACAUUAGUGUGUGAUACAUAUGGAAAAUUGUGAUGUCUAUGUUUUUGAAAUAUUUUACUUUAGAAAAAGUUUUAAACGGGGCAUUGCAUUAUGUUUUAUAUUUUUUGCCAAGACGCUCCGCGGGGAGAUGGCACAUGACCGGCAAGGCGGCGUUCUACAGCGCACCAGCCCGCAACAGAGGCGGCGUCCGCAGCGCAGCCGUGUACUUCGGUGCGCACCGCGGGGCCAGUGCUACCUGCCACCGUCGCGGCCCCGGCGCUGCUCCUCCCAGAUGGUGGUGCCCAUGGUCGUGGCCCACUGGCCCCCAGACGGGCUCUCUGCUGAGGCGCGCGGGUGAGGAACUGGCUCCUCUAACUUCGCUCCUGUGAAGUUAGGAAAACAGUACUCUAACUUAGUCUGUGAACCAUCAGAUGGAAAAUAGAUGGUCAAGAUUCUGCACUGUUCACAUGGGGUUGUAGCAUACUGUUUGGACGAGCACUGUAGCUAAAAUCACUGUUUGUUACCUGUAGCAAUUGACAUUGUUUAAGAACUGUAGCGAUAGAUCUCAGCCAUUUAUUCUAGAUCCAACGGAUGAAAUGUGGCUAAGUUAGGCUCCUAACUUCACAGUAGCUAAGUUAGAGGAGCCGGUUCCCGCGGGUGGCUGCCUCUGACUUGAAGUGUUCUGCCUCUGACUUGAAGUGUUCUCGAGAUUUGUACGUUGAUUGCUUGGCCGUCGCUUUGUGCUGUCACUGCGUGUACUGAAGAUUAGUUAUUUCGCUUUGACUUGGAGUGAGAUGCAGUGGGUUCAGGUUGCUGCUGCUGAAUUUUUUAUGUGAUAUUCGAAUGACUGUGUGUCUGCGUAGUUGCGCUUCUGACAAUGUGGCCUUCCUUUGCUGACCGAAGUUAGUGAGUUGUUCAGCAUGCUUGACUUUGUUCUUAGCAAGGAAAUUUGUGGUGAUUCGUAAUCAAACUGGCAAAGAACAUCCUUACUUCUGAUUAUGUUUGAAGAUGAGUACUCUCAGAGGGAGGUACGAUGGAUGGUUGAGCUGAGACCUACUGUUUGAUGUUUGUUUGCCUUUGCUUUGUAAUAAGUGAGGGCUGAAGUGACCUACUGUUUGAUGUUUGUUUGCCUUUGCUUUGUAAUAAGUGAGGGCUGAAGUGAAUGAAUCUGGAAGUGCUUUAGCGAUUGAUGCUCUGUCCCAAGUUAAACAUAUUCUACCUCUGGUCACUGACCGCAACCCUUACCUUUGAGAGUACUCAUCUUUCAUGGCUGAUUUCUCUACCGCAACUGAAAUUGCAACUUCCAUGAUGACGCUGUUAGGCCGGAUUAUAUUCCAAAGAUUUGGCUAGGGGGUGGCUGACAUGAUCACCCCGACAGUUUUGUUGGUGAUUGGCGUUGGUUUCUUCUGUCUGAUUUUGUUUGGGCAACCACUGACUCCUCUGCUUGCCACGUGGGUUAUGACCCCUCUUCUUGUGGCUGUUUAUGUGGGUGCGCUUCAAUCCAAUUCCCCGCUGUAGAAUAUAUUUAGCAAGAGUGCAAUGUAUAGUUUUUCAACCCGUGCAAGGAAAUGACCUAUAUUCCUUUGGAUAGCGAUAUGAAGGUUUGUUCAUCCUUCCAAACUCCAUUUUUAUCUGUGUGAUUCCUUGGUAAUUUUUCUGUGAAAAAAUAUAUUCAAGUUACUGAUGUUCUUUUCUGCCUAAUGGUAUUUCAUGUAUGUUAAUUGGUUUCUUUAUAUGUGUUUACUGUAGCAAAUUCCUGAUUGACUACAUGUAAAUAUUAGUAAAUAAUUUAUGCAUAAUUAUCGGUUACUGUCAUGAGGAAUUUAGUAUGGCAACUUGAUAAUAUCUGUUCAUUUUUCCCAGGAUGCAGCUGAGAGAUACCUUUAUUAAACAUACCAAAUCUCAUAUAGAGCUCAGCAUGCUCUUGUAGUUCGAUAACGACAUUACUUGUUUUUCCCUGCUGUCGAAUGUGUUGUAAACUUUCAACAAGUGCAGUUCCUUGCCGUGAGCAGUCUUAGAUGAUCAGUGGACAUGUAGCCUUAUUUCUGACGUCCAAAUUUCAUCGUACAAAAAGAAAUACUCAGUGUAAUCAUAUUUCUGACGUUUGCAAAAAAUAAUUUAAAAAAUGUUGCAUAA